AGCGAACGCUGGCGGCAGGCUUAACACAUGCAAGUCGAGCGGGCAUCCUUGUGGUGUCCGCGGCAGACGGGUGAGUAACGCGUGGGAACGUGCCCUUCGGUUCGGAAUAACUCAGGGAAACUUGAGCUAAUACCGGAUACGUGCGAGAGCAGAAAGGUUUAUCUGCCGAAGGAUCGGCCCGCGUCUGAUUAGCUAGUUGGUGAGGUUAUGGCUCACCAAGGCGACGAUCAGUAGCUGGUCUGAGAGGAUGAUCAGCCACACUGGGACUGAGACACGGCCCAGACUCCUACGGGAGGCAGCAGUGGGAAAUAUUGGACAAUGGGGGCAACCCUGAUCCAGCCAUGCCGCGUGAGUGAUGACGGCCUUAGGGUUGUAAAGCUCUUUUCUCCGGGACGAUAAUGACGGUACCGGAGGAAUAAGCCCCGGCUAACUUCGUG
rnacentral:rRNA from 1 species